rnacentral:rRNA from 1 species
GAGACUCUGUGCGCGUGCAUAUCAAUAAGCGGAGGAAAAGAAACUAACAAGGAUUCCCCUAGUAACGGCGAGUGAAGCGGGAAGAGCUCAAAUUUGAAAUCUUCAAGGUUUGACCUUGACGAAUUGUAGUUUAAAGAAGUGUUUUCGGUUAGAGGAGUAGUAAAAGUUCUUUGGAAUAGGACAUCAUAGAGGGUGAGAAUCCCGUAUUUGACUAUUCUUUCUAGCUGUGUGAUACACUUUCAAAGAGUCGGAUUGUUUGGGAAUGCAGUCCAAAAUGGUUGGUAAAUUUCAUCUAAAGCUAAAUAUUGGCGAGAGACCGAUAGCGAACAAGUACCGUGAGGGAAAGAUGAAAAGAACUUUGAAAAGAGAGUUAAACAGUACGUGAAAUUGUCAAAAGGGAAGCGUUUGACACCAGUGUUGUUUAGUUGAAAAUCAAUUCAAUAGUUUUAGAUUCUAAGUAGUAUUGACUUCAUCAGCUUGCUGCUCUCUUUACAGAAACUUCUUGAAUGCACUUUUCAGUUAACAAGUCAACAUCAAUUUCUUUUGUUGUAAAAGGGUACGAGGAAGGUGGCUUUCUUUUCGGAGAAAGUGUUUAUAGCCUUGUGCCUCUGCAAUCGGAGAGAUUGAGGUCUGCAGCGUAGAUCCUUCGGGGUUAGAUACGUUUGUGCUAAGUUAUAGCUUUUCAUAGACAACUUGUUGACUAUGUUUAGUCUUGUAGCUUACUCGCUUAUGUCAUUUUACCUACGCUUAGGAUGUUGAACUCUAUCACACACAG